GAGAUCAGGCGCUCAACAAACUCCACCUGGUCUGCCUCUGACCACUGGUCAAACAGUGCGAUGCAGUGUUCUUUCUCCUUCUCAUAGUUUCCCUCCGAAGGACGCUUGCGGGAGCCCAUCACAGGACCAUUAGUAAGCUUGAGAACAGUGUUCUUCUUUGGCGAUAGAUCAUCCACAAGGUUCGGUGACUCCAUUCCUGAUGUGUUCUGGAGGGGGAAAAAAACAAACAAAGAAAACAUAAGAAUUUAGUGUUUUACUCUAUUUACAUCUGUGUUUAAGGCACUGUGAGGACCAGGAGAGCAGAACAGAUAGUGCUGCACACAGGAGUGCCACACAGACAGCCAAGGAAGGGCAACUAUUAUGACUUCUGAGGCGUGCGCGCACAAACACUCGUGCAUACACAUACGUAUGAAGGGGAGGGGGGGGCACGGGAGACUGAGCACUGCAACAAAAAAAGAAUUCCAUGUGCUUGCUUGUCUGAUGUGUAGUGGACAGGAAAUUAAACUGCAGCAUCUUUGGUAUGUCACAAGUUGAAGCUCAGGCAUGACAUUGAUGAAACUCAAGCCAGAUAAUAGCAUUACUCUUUAUAAGAAAUAUUAAAAAAAAGAGGAGCUGACCCCAUCCAUUUCGACUUUGACACAAGUCACAGAAUGAAUGCAUAGAAUGACUGGGGUUUAUAAACUGCAAAACCAUACUGUUAACCAUACAAUCAACUAUAAAACUUUUUUAAGGGAGACAGGAAGAAUUUUAUUCUUGUGAUCCAUUCAAACAAAUUCCAAUAUACCUCACUGAGCGUUGCAAUCUGUAUUUGUAAUAAAUGCACAAAUGUUAAAAAAAAAAAAGAAAUAUAAUGCCAGAAAAGGCAUUUUAACAGAGAAAAACAAGUUAAGAAUUGAGAUAUUCCUAUUUUCUUCUUCUGAAGGAUAUAUUAUAUUAACAACAUUUAUGUGUUGGGGAGGUCAGCUAAGGUCAACUAAGUACCCCAUCCAGCUUUCUCAAACCAAAGCGUUCUCAAAUACAUUCAAAACUCUCUUACAACAAAACUACUACUACUUGUGACUACGUGGGCAUCUGAAACACACUUAACCUGGACUGUAUAAUGAAAAGAAUUAUUAAAAAGUAAUAUUCAAGAAAUUGACAGACACUGUCUUUACUAUAAGUAAUGAUAAAGGUCCUGUAAAUCACUACAAUGAACAGUUUAAUGAUUGUCUUGGUGGGCCUGAAUUUGGGCUGCUGACUCCAUGUACUUAAGCACGGCUGUGAGAGAUAGCAGCCAAUUUUCAAACAUCAAGAUACUGUUAUAGGAUACCGAUUCUGCUUACAAAACAAGAACGCAAAGGAAAGUAAAUCACAGAGAACCAUCCUGGAUUUGCUCAUUUUAAAUAACCACUGGUGAUGCUGCUUUGUAAAGAGUAGAACAAACAAGGAACACAGUAACCGUUGCCAUUAAAACAUAACACAGAAACAAAUGGUUGGGUACCAACACAAAAGCAGACGGAACAGGAAGACAAAUGUUGAUGUGAUGAUCAUGCAGACAGAACAAAGGGGAAAAAAAUGGACAAACCAGGCUUAGCCAAGCAAGUAGGCAGGCAAACAAGCAUGUAGGCCUCUCAGAGCCCGAAAGACACCCCCGCUGCCCCACCUUGACCCUUACACUCCCAGGUAGAGGGGGAGAAAAUGUGUUACUUCUCAAAACUGGGUUUUUCUCUGGUAAUCCUGAAUCCUCCCCUCCCCUUACCAGCUACACAAAAGAGAAUAUUAAAAUGCAAACUCUUUAGUGUGCAAUUUUUUCAUGUGGCACAAGUGCAAAAUCAACAUCUAGCAUAUUUUGGCAAAACUUGUAAAACUUAUUUGUUAAGAUUAUAAAAGGGCAAACAGAGCUUGUAAACUAAAAGUAAGUUUCAAGCGUACAGGUUCAUGAAAGCACCAGAGAAGAACCCGAGAGCAAAAGGCUUUCAACAGAGGGGAAAGGACAACGAAAGGUGAGAAGGUGAGAGGUUGAGGGGGAAUGAGUAGGUACUGUGUGUAGUAAGGAGUAAUGAGAAAUUGUGAGGCUGGACUGAAGAAAAGUGAAGGGCGAGGGGAUGACAGGGGGAAGAAGGGAAGGGGCAGGAGGUAGAGCAGCAGAAUUAAGAGGAGAUAGGCAGAACCUGGUUGUGAGCCCGGGUGGAGGGGAUGCUCUGCAGGCACCUGAGUGCACACAAACUCUCAGCCACCGAGGAGCAGCCCAGCCAGAGAGAGCGAGGCACAGAGCACUGUGUGAAAGAGAGAGGAAGGGAGGAAGGGAAGAGGAGAACAGAGUGGACAGGGUGAGGGAGGAGGAGGGAAUAGUAAAAGACCAGAGAUGGGGAAGUAAAGAGAGGAGGUGUGGAUGAAGACCAAAGAUUAUGUUUGAAUGUGGAUGGACGAGUGAGUGGACAGAUGAAUGUAGUAAGGAGUUGAUUAGGAAGAGACAGGUGAAGUGCGGGAAUGUGUAAGAAUACAAAAAUGAUGUGCAAGUAAAUCAAGGGGGUUUGGUUUGAAAUUGAGAGGAGGUGAGUAUGUAAUUAUCAAGGGUGAGGAGAGAAGAAAGGGGGAGGGUGGGGGAUAGUGAGGGGAAAAACCAGUAUUAGAGCUACACACACAUUGGCACAGUGAGCGCAGGAACACACACACCUUCACACACAGGAUAAAGACUGAUAAACAUACACACAGAAGCAUCGUUAGACAUGAACUGGGUAGAGAUAGGUUGGAGAGGGAGGUGCAAUGGAAAUAAUUGUCAAUUGUGGCCACUUUUAUUUUGAGAGCAACUCAACACACUGUUCUGCCAUCUCCAUUCUCAUGAGUGGUUAGUGAAUAACAGUAAGACAAAAAAUAAAUAAAAACCACAUAGAUAAAACAGACAAUUUUUCGGUAUGAAAGUUGUAGGACUAGCGCUACAUUUUUAAACUAUGCUAUAACCAGGGUAAGGUUUCAAUACGAUAUCAAUUUCAAUAUAUAAGACACAAAUUUGUUCCUUUCUGUCUUCUGUCAUAUAUAUUUGCAUUUAUACAGACAAAUGUUUAAUAGGCAGCUUAAAGCUCCCUGGUAAGCCCAUGAUCUGAACAUGUAGAUCCAGGUUUCCCUUCCUUCAUUUUAAGUCAUCUAGAUAAAAGAGAAAAUAGACAAUGGUAUGUGAAUGGGAGUGUAAAUAUGAGCAGACACAGCAUAUGAUAGAAGCUCGAUUGUCCAAUAGGAGCUGGAUCAUGUUGCAUUAGUGUGGUAUUCAAUGACUAUAUACUGGUCAGCAUCACUGAAAAAUCAUUUAGGAUUCCUCUCAUAUCAAUUACUCAUAUUGGCCAAGCUCACAUACCACUGUUCAUUUCGUUCAUCUUCUUACCAAAUUUUGGUUUACAAAACAUUACAAUAUCCAGGUUAAGAGUUGAAACCUGUGAUAUCAACCAAAUAAUUGUGAAGAAAAUGGAAGUAAAAUAAAAAAAGAAACCUAGUUUACAUCGAUUCAAAUACUGCAGAAUAUCCUCGAGCAGUUGCAGUCUUUUCUUCACCAUGGGUUAUGGAAAACUGACCAGUUCUUGAAUACACAAGCAACAGUGUCUGCUUAAACUGUGGACACUUAAAUAUUUAGUGAUCUUUAAAUGUGGCUUAAAUUAUCAAUGACCACAAAUGUAUUGACUGAAAGAGUAUAACCGACUGCCUGCUAGAAUGAAUAAGUCUUUAUUUUAUAGUGUUAAUUAAUUCGACUCAUGGAAUUAUGAAUGACAAAGUAGAAAGAGUUCAGUUUACAACAGCAGCUGCCUCCAUGUCCCAAUUAAUAUAUCUCGUCUAUAUAUAAUCCACCUAAAGUGUUGAGGAUGUUAUUUUUAUUACACAUACGUUCAAUCUAUAGUCCGAAAUACAAUAGUAUCGAUUUGUAAGAGAAACGGAAGGAUGUUUGUCGCUUCUGAUGAGGAACAAAUACCAACACAAAUAUAAAUUCGCAGCAACGUUUAUUAAGGUGAAUACUAAUCAUAGACACCAAAUGACAAUAGGUAGAAACUACAAAAGUCUACUAUUCGACAACCUUGACCCCUGUAAUAUUGUUAGCUUUUGGGGCUAACGUUAGCCUAGCGUCUUAGCUUUUCGUGUUGGCUAAUCUUUUCACAAGAUAACCUAUGAUAACCGUUGACCAAAUGUGAAUCUAUAGGGAUGGAAACGGUCUGUCUAAUAAACAGAAGAGAUCCUAUCACCAAAGCAACUUGACAGUUUACGCAUGUAAAUACCUGUCAAAUAACCCUAGCGUUACAGAAUGCUAACCAUUGAGCUAAUUGCUACCUCGUUUAUGUGAAUGAAAAGACACU